UUUUUUUUUUUUUCUUUUUACCUUUUGGAACUUUGGAAGGUCCGUUCUCACUUCACACACUUUGGUAUCAACAACAAAAACAGAACAAACUCAAAGAACCCAAUCUCUGUACUCUCCAUCUCCAAACUCUUUCUUCACUUCCAAAACUCUCAACAAAAAAUGGAGAGUUUUGCUCUUUCUUCUCUCUCCACUUCCUUCUCUCUCCCCACUCGCUCUUCUUUCCUUCAUCAUCGUUUCCACCACCACCACCACCCCAUCUCCACUCCUCACUCCAUCCCCACCCUCCGAUCCUCUUCUCUCUUCUAUCCAAUCAAGCCCACCCCAAACUCCUCCCUCUUCAAACCCCGUUUCCUCCCUCCAAUCCACUCCUCCUCCUCCUCCACAAAUUCCCCAAACCGCCCUCCCCCUUCUCCACAAAUUACACAAUCAGCCAAACCAAUACCACUAAUACUCUCAGUCUCAAUUGGCUUAAUCGUCCGAUUCCUCAUUCCCAAGCCCCCCGAAGUGACCCCACAAGCCUGGCAGCUCCUCUCCAUCUUCGUCUCCACCAUCGCCGGCCUCGUCCUCAGCCCAUUACCCGUCGGCGCGUGGGCUUUCUUGGGCCUCACAGUCACCGUCCUCACCAAAACUCUCUCCUUCGCCACCGCCUUCUCCGCCUUCACCAACGAAGUCAUCUGGCUCAUAGUCAUAUCAUUCUUCUUCGCCCGCGGCUUCGUCAAGACCGGGUUAGGCAACAGGAUCGCCACUUAUUUCGUCAAGUGGUUGGGCCGCAGCACCUUAGGACUGUCCUACGGAUUGACCAUAAGCGAAGCCCUCAUCGCACCGGCUAUGCCCAGCACCACCGCGAGGGCCGGCGGCGUGUUUUUGCCCAUAAUUCAGUCGCUGUCGCUCUCUGCCGGGAGCAAACCCGGCGACCCAUCUGCCAAAAAGCUCGGUUCUUAUCUUGUUCAGUCUCAAUUUCAGUCUUCUAGUAACUCUAGUGCUCUUUUCCUAACUGCGGCAGCUCAAAACCUGCUCUGCCUCAAAUUGGCUGAGGAGCUUGGGGUGAUAGUUUCAAGCCCUUGGGUUAGUUGGUUCAAAGCUGCUAGUUUACCAGCAAUUGCCUGUCUUUUAGCUACUCCUCUAGUCUUAUACAAGUUAUAUCCUCCUGAAACCAAAGACACACCAGAUGCCCCUGCCAUGGCUGCAAAGAAAUUGGAGCAUAUGGGUCCUGUUACAAGAAAUGAGUGGGUGAUGGUCGGUACAAUGCUCCUUGCAGUCUCUUUGUGGGUCUUUGGUGAUGCUCUUGGUAUAGCAAGUGUUGUAGCUGCAAUGACAGGCUUAUCCAUUCUCCUUUUGUUGGGAGUCCUUGAUUGGGAUGACUGCUUAAGUGAAAAAUCUGCAUGGGAUACCUUGGCUUGGUUUGCCGUUCUAGUGGGUAUGGCAGGCCAAUUGACGAACCUUGGUAUUGUGACCUGGAUGUCUGAUUGUGUCGCCAAAUCGCUUCAAUCUUUCUCUUUGAGUUGGCCAGCUGCAUUUGGUGUUCUUCAGGCUUCUUACUUCCUCAUCCACUACCUCUUUGCAAGUCAAACAGGUCAUGUUGGAGCUUUGUACUCUGCAUUCCUUGCUAUGCAGUUGGCUGCUGGGGUUCCUGGCGUGUUAGCAGCUCUGGCUUUAGCAUACAAUACAAAUCUUUUUGGUGCCAUAACACAUUAUAGCAGUGGUCAGGCUGCUGUAUACUUUGGAGCUGGUUAUGUAGACCUUCCCGAUGUAUUCAAAAUGGGAUUCAUAAUGGCUGUUAUCAAUACUAGCAUCUGGGGAGUAGUUGGAGCUUUUUGGUGGAAAUUUUUGGGCCUCUAUUGAUUUUCAAUUUCAAUACAGAUGAGAGAGCUACAUGACGGGGAGAGAGAAAAAAGAAUAAAAAAAUCAUUUGCAUAUGAACAGAUGUGUAUGCAACAAACGCUUCACAUGUACUUGGGAUCUGCACAUGUGGACCUCACAUGUAUAUGAGAGAUGUUGCAUGCAUCCGUUGACAUAACAUAUCACAUCGUGCUGGGCAACUAUCCUAGGUAAUGGAUUCUGUUUGGAUUUUUAUUUUAUUUUAUUUUAUCGGUAAAUAAAAACUUCAUUGAAAAUAAGAAAGACAAAAAAAGAAGAAGAAAAUUUUACCUGGAAUUCUAUCCACUAUUUCUUAAUGCAUUCACAUGAAGAGCUAAAUACUUCUAAAUAGAUCAUUGGAGUUCAAAAUUUGUAUAGAUUUGCAUAUUGGAAUUCCUAUUGGAGCAGCGUUGACAAAUUAUUAGCAGUUUGAAAUAAACUUUGAUGUACGUAAUUUCUGUGUCGAGCUAGAUCA